rnacentral:rRNA from 1 species
AUUGAACGCUGGCGGCAGGCCUAACACAUGCAAGUCGGACGGUAGCACAGAGGAGCUUGCUCCUCGGGUGACGAGUGGCGGACGGGUGAGUAAUGUCUGGGGAUCUGCCCGAUAGAGGGGGAUAACCACUGGAAACGGUGGCUAAUACCGCAUAACGUCGCAAGACCAAAGAGGGGGACCUUCGGGCCUCUCACUAUCGGAUGAACCCAGAUGGGAUUAGCUAGUAGGCGGGGUAACGGCCCACCUAGGCAACGAUCCCUAGCUGGUCUGAGAGGAUGACCAGCCACACUGGAACUGAGACACGGUCCAGACUCCUACGGGAGGCAGCAGUGGGGAAUAUUGCACAAUGGGCGCAAGCCUGAUGCAGCCAUGCCGCGUGUAUGAAGAAGGCCUUCGGGUUGUAAAGUACUUUCAGCGGGGAGGAAGGCGAUGUGGUUAAUAACCGCAUUGAUUGACGUUACCCGCAGAAGAAGCACCGGCUAACUCCGUGCCAGCCGCCGCAGUAA